rnacentral:lncRNA from 1 species
CCUAGCGUCGUCGACAAAGGAGCACGACAUCACUAAGGAGAAGCUAGCCAGAGCUUCAAAGGUCAUUGAAGAUGAGAAGAGGAGGCAGAUCCUUGUGAAGGCCCAGAAAGAAGACAGAGUCAGAGUCCUCAUCGCUGAGUGGGAGGCAAAGCUGAAGAUCAAGGAAGCAGAGAAUAUGAAGAUCAUCACCGAGAGAGAUCAUUAUCUUGCUGAGAGAGAUCAUUACUUCAGGAAGAUGAAGAUUCACCAGAAGGAGGUCGGGAGAUUGCAGCAGGAGAACACCGAGCUCAGGUUCGCCACAGAGUUUGCGAAGAUGGUUGAUGAUAUAGGGCCUUCUGUGGGACCUUCAUCAGGCUAGACCUUUCUUAUUUGUGUGGAUUACCGUCAGGCCUGUUGACGGAAUUUACUUGUUUGUAUGUUCUUUCUGAUUCUGGAGAUUUGUAUGUGGCUUGUAUCAGACUUGAUGUAUGACUAUGGCGCUUAUUGCGCACCUUUUGAUAUACGAUGGUUAUUUUCA